CGCACCGCCUGUGUUUUGUCAACGAAAUAUCGGUCCCGUCGACGACGACAACUGGGUCUCAUUCUCACUCUCUGCAUAAUGAAUGAUGGCCUCUCUCCUGCAUCUUCUCUCACUCUCUG
ensembl:ncRNA C56E6.14 ncRNA